UACGUAGGGGGCAAGCGUUGUCCGGAUUCAUUGGGCGUAAAGAGCGUGUAGGCGGCCAGGUAGGUCGGUUGUGAAAACUGGAGGCUCAACCUUCAGAGGUCGACCGAAACCAUCUGGCUAGAGUCCGGGAGAGGAGAGUGGAAUUCCUGGUGUAGCGGUGAAAUGCGUAGAGAUGUGGAGGAACACCAAUGGCGAAGGCAGCCUCCUGGGCCAACACUGACACUCAUGCACGAAAGCGUGGGGAGCAAACAGG
rnacentral:rRNA from 1 species